UAAAAGCAUGACGGGUGUCCAGGUCCUCAAUUGUUUCUUCCAUCAAAGCUUGGCUCAGCUUUGUGGUUGUAGUCUAACGACUCUCUCUUCGUCGCGAGCUACAGCUGGAAGAGGCAAUUGAAGGCCUGGUUCUGAGAAUAUACCGUAUGAACUUGAUCUAGACAAUUCUAGCGCAUAAGGACAUGCUUCCCCCUCCCC
rnacentral:ncRNA from 1 species